rnacentral:tRNA from 1 species
UCCCUGGUAGUCCAGUGGCUAAGACUCUGAGCUCCCAGUGCAGAGGCCCCGGUUCAAUUCCUGGUCAGGGAA